rnacentral:rRNA from 1 species
CCUACGGGUGGCAGCAGUGAGGAAUAUUGGUCAAUGGGCGAGAGCCUGAACCAGCCAAGUCGCGUGAGGGAAGACGGCCCUACGGGUUGUAAACCUCUUUUGUCGGGGAGCAAAGAGAGUCACGUGUGACUCAUUGAGAGUACCCGAAGAAAAAGCAUCGGCUAACUCCGUGCCAGCAGCCGCGGUAAUACGGAGGAUGCGAGCGUUAUCCGGAUUUAUUGGGUUUAAAGGGUGCGCAGGCGGAGGUGCACGUCAGCGGUCAAAUUGCGGGGCUCAACCCCGUACUGCCGUUGAAACUGCAUCCCUUGAGGGCGCGAGAGGUAUGCGGAAUGCGUGGUGUAGCGGUGAAAUGCAUAGAUAUCACGCAGAACGCCGAUUGCGAAGGCAGCAUACCGGCGCGCAACUGACGCUCAUGCACGAAAGCGUGGGUAUCGAACAGGAUUAGAUACCCUUGUAGUC